UUGGGAUCUCUUUCAAGAUUGGUGAUGGCAGAGAACCGAUCCUCCAUAGCUUCUCUCUUUCCUCUCUUGCAGUAAACUGAAAACUCAUCACCUUCCCUUUCCACCUCUCCACUUUCUUCCCUUGUCGUCUCUGCAUUCACAGAGAUAGGUGCUGCAACACCCACGGGAGCCACCGGUAUGUCUAGCCUCGUAGGUCGCUUCCUCUUCAGAACGCCUCCCAGCUGGCGGUCAAAGGGACCAGAGUCCGAACCAAACACUGAAUUAACCGGCGGUUUAAGAAGACGGAGGCAGAACGGCGAAGUGGGAGACGCAGCCGAAGGAGAAGAAGCAAGAGGAGUGAGAUGGGAAUGAGACAGAGUCAGGUUUUGAUGCGCCGGAGAAAUGUUCAACGCCUUGUUGUUGCAGAAAAGAGACGAGGACGGGGAGAAAACCGGCGAGCUGCAGACGGCAACAGACAUCCUUUCCUUUAAACCUUUUUUGUUGAUGAUUUUUUUUUUUCCUGUAUAUUUAUUUUGUUUGCGUUCUCCUAGUCGUUUGAAUGAAUGUUAUCAACGAAGGUGAAAAGAAGCUAUAAAUAGAAGAGAAGUCUUCGAGGCCUAUCGGCGACGACGCUUUCUUCUUCAAAGUCAAACGCUACCACCACCAUCUUCUUCUUCUUUGACUUUUCAAAUCACGAACCCACCGCCACAGUCCACUUGUUCCGCCUUAUUUUUAAAAAAUGUUGGUCAACUCCAUUUUGUUGUUACUCUUCCAGAAAAAAAAUAAUUUUGGAUAACAGAACGGAAAAAAAAAGUCAAGAGAAAUAAAUUGUGGUUAUGAACAUAAAAUUCAUUUGAUCACUUCACCUUGAUGUCUGGUGGAGGAAGGAUGAAUAUAAUGAAACACGUGGUAUUAUUAUUUUUCCAUCACACGUGUUACAUAUUGUGAGGAAAAGUCAAAAUAGAAAGAAAGCCCAUCUGAAAAUAAUAAAAGCCGUUUAGAGUGGAGGCCCUAUAGACAGAAAGCCUAUAAUAGUCGGACCGACAUGGAUACAUGGAUAUUUUAUAAUAUUUCUAGAACCCGACCCGGUUCACACUUUUUGUUCCCGGCGGCCGUCUCUCUCCCUAACUCUUGUGACACCUUCUUCUUCUUCUUCCUCCUCUUCUCCUUCGAAGUCAGGUUAGAUUUACGCUUCUUUUAUAUUUACUUUGGGUUUAUGAGAUUGGUUAUCUGGAUUCUUAGUGUUUGUGGUAUCGAACAGAACGGAACACUAAGAUACUCAUGUAAAAGAGAAUCCACUUGGACUUAAGAUCGUACUAAACUUUCAGACGUUCAGAUUUUUUAAGAUUAAGUUUCUAGCUGAAGUAUGUAUUUAUCAGCUAUAUAUAUAGGGGUAUAAACGUUAGAGAUAUCCUGUGUUACGUAACAAUUAAGACUCAUGCACAUACGGUAUGUUAAUAUACACAGAGUGCCCUAAUAACUAAUAUGACAAAUGAAGUUUAAACAUUCUUAAGGUGUUCUCUAAUCUCUACAUAUCUCCACUGGUCAGAUGAAGCGGCGUAACGGAAUCAACAUAACACUGAUAUCGUCCAAGGAGCCUCGUGAAACAGAGAGGUCAACGAGCUUCUUACACGCUAGCAAUGGCUUUUGGUUCUGAUCGGUUCCCAUGCAGAACGGUCGAGCUAUAUCUACUGUCUCCUGGUUACCAACCUUUUCCCACAGACCGUCUGAAGCUAAGAUCAAGAACUCGUGUUGGGGGUUGAUACGUAAAGUCUUUGUCUCUGGCUCAGAUAUCACCCAUCUUUUGAGAUGCGCAUCUCCGAUUCCUCUAGACAGGGGCGGAGGCAGUGAAGGAGGUGUGGGGUCAGCUGACCCCACUACUUUUUUUAAAAAUAUUUUUUUUUAUUUAAGAAAAUUUGUAUUGACCCCUUUAAAAAUGAAAAUUUGACCCCACUAAAAAUAUAAUUUCACAAAUAUAAUCACAAAACAUUAAAGAUUGAAGAUAAUUUAAAAUUAUAUAAAUAAUAUGUUUAUUUUAUUUGUUAAACAUUUGAUUUAUAUUAAUUUUAGCUUAGAUUUCAAUAAACACGUUUUUAUAAUAAGUGUUAGUUACAUAUUUCAAUAACUCCCAAAUUGUAUUAGGUCCAAUAAUGAGCGAAUUUGAAAAAAAGAGAUUUGUACUUCUUUUCUGGACAACGCAAAGAGGAAGAACUCUCAUGUUCCCCAAACAAUUUUUAGAUAAUUUUUUUUUGAUCGAAUAAUUUUUAAAUAAGUUUUCUAUUUUUUUUGUUAUACACUCUCUUCUUUAUUUUAGCAAACUAAAAAUGAUUAUGAUUCAAUGAUUAUGUAAAUUUAUCAGUUAACUAAUGGAUCAGUUUCUGAAUCGGCAAAAAAAUAUCAGCCAAUGAAAAUCAUCAAAAAAUAAUAUUACAAUAUCGCAUCAGUAAUGAAUUUCUAAAACUUUUAUGAUUUGUUUUAUCAAAAUUAUUUUAAAUUGUAGUAAAUAAUUAUGGUAAACAAGUUUUAAGAUAUGAAUGAUCAUAUAGUAUAUUUAUAGUUUUUCCGUGGUUAUAAAUUAUGUAUUUGGAGAUAAAAAAAUUUGACCCCGGUACAAAAACUUUCUGGCGGCUCCGCCACUGCCUCUAGAUACCGCUAAAGAUCCUUGGAUUCUCCAAACACUGUUAAAUGUAUCAACAUAACCGCCCUGCAAGAUUAUCAUGCUAAAACUCAGAACCAAAAACAUACUAAAACGAGGUUGUACUACGUAGGUUGCUAUUUUUUUCUAAAACCCUAAAAACCAAGAAAAAUAUAAACUGAAUGAAGACUAAAUAUCAAUGCACUACUUAAUCAUAUUCUUGAAAAUCAACCAUAAGUUUAUUGAAAAAUGAUUUACAAACAUUAAAUGUUAAUAUAGAGGUAUGAAUUAUUACCGAGCUUUCAAUUCUGUUCCGUUCAUCGUCCCUCGAAGGGCGGUGGUCAGAAGUCAGAGCCUCCGCGAAUCCUCCAACGCUCAAAACAGCACGGCAGUCACCGGCAUUGGACACCACGAGAUUCCCAUCUUUAAUCAGAGCCGUGACGCAGCAAGAUCCUCCCUUAACAUCUUUCUCCUUGAGAAACUCAGAAUCAGUCGUUAGGUAACCACGUUUCACAGCUUCUUCAAUAUCUGACUCGUUCCUCUCACUACCUCUCUCUCCUAGAAUGUUAUUACACAAGUUCUUAGCCGCAAACUCAGCCGCUCUUGAUCCUCCAUGACCAUCAUAGACUCCAAAAAUUGCCUGCAAAUCGUAGAACAACAUUUGAGAUUUAAUGACUACUUCUACAAUAUGAACUUCACAUAUGAUUCAUUGGUCAUAUUAGAAUUUUGAUAGGGAGCUUUGAAUUUGAUUCAAUGUUCUAAAAUCCAAAUCUUAUUUGGCAAAAUAAAUUUAUUCUAAAAUCUAAACUAUCUGAUUCCCACACAAAAAAUGAGAUUAUAUAUAAUACAUAUUGGAAUAUCAUUUUUCUAGUAAUUAUUACAAUUUGAAAUAAUAAAAGAGAACUGAAGUUACCUGUUUGGGAUCUCUUUCAAGAUUGGUGAUGGCAGAGAACCGAUCCUCCAUAGCUUCUCUCUUUCCUCUCUUGCAGUAAACUGAAAACUCAUCACCUUCCCUUUCCACCUCUCCACUUUCUUCCCUUGUCGUCUCUGCAUUCACAGAGAUAGGUGCUGCAACACCCACGGGAGCCACCGGUAUGUCUAGCCUCGUAGGUCGCUUCCUCUUCAGAACGCCUCCCAGCUGGCGGUCAAAGGGACCAGAGUCCGAACCAAACACUGAAUUAACCGGCGGUUUAAGAAGACGGAGGCAGAACGGCGAAGUGGGAGACGCAGCCGAAGGAGAAGAAGCAAGAGGAGUGAGAUGGGAAUGAGACAGAGUCAG
rnacentral:lncRNA from 1 species